rnacentral:rRNA from 1 species
GUGUCAGCCGCCGCGGUAAGACGAACCGAGCGAACGUUAUUCGGAAUCACUGGGCUUAAAGGGCGCGUAGGCGGGCCAUCAAGUCAGGGGUGAAAGCCCCCAGCUCAACUGGGGAAGUGCCUUUGAUACUGGUGGUCUCGAGGGGGAUAGGGGCGUGCGGAACUUCCGGUGGAGCGGUGAAAUGCGUAGAUAUCGGAAGGAACACCGGUGGCGAAAGCGGCGCGCUGGAUCCCUUCUGACGCUGAGGCGCGAAAGCCAGGGGAGCGAACGGGAUUAGAAACCCCCGUAGUCC